UAGGGAAUCUUCCGCAAUGGACGCAAGUCUGACGGAGCAACGCCGCGUGAGUGAAGAAGGAUUUCGGUUCGUAAAACUCUGUUGUUAGAGAAGAACAGCGCAUAGAGUAACUGUUAUGCGUGUGACGGUAUCUAACCAGAAAGCCACGGCUAACUACGUGCCAGCAGCCGCGGUAAUACGUAGGUGGCAAGCGUUGUCCGGGUUUAUUGGGCGUAAAGCGAGCGCAGGCGGUCAAUUAAGUCUGAUGUGAAAGCCCCCGGCUCAACCGGGGAGGGUCAUUGGAAACUGGUUGACUUGAGUGCAGAAGAGGAGAGUGGAAUUCCAUGUGUAGCGGUGAAAUGCGUAGAUAUAUGGAGGAACACCAGUGGCGAAGGCGACUCUCUGGUCUGUAACUGACGCUGAGGUUCGAAAGCGUGGGUAGCAAACAGG
rnacentral:rRNA from 1 species